UACGUAGGGGGCUAGCGUUGUCCGGAAUCAUUGGGCGUAAAGCGCGUGUAGGCGGUCCGGUAAGUCCGCUGUGAAAGUCGAGGGCUCAACCCUCGAAUGCCGGUGGAUACUGUCGGGCUUGAGUACGGGAGAGGCGAGUGGAAUUCCUGGUGUAGCGGUGAAAUGCGCAGAUAUCAGGAGGAACACCGAUUGCGAAGGCAGCUCGCUGGAACGUUACUGACGCUGAGACGCGAAAGCGUGGGGAGCGAACUGG
rnacentral:rRNA from 1 species